rnacentral:rRNA from 1 species
UGCAGUCGAGCGGAUGACGGGAGCUUGCUCCUUGAUUCAGCGGCGGACGGGUGAGUAAUGCCUAGGAAUCUGCCUGGUAGUGGGGGACAACGUUUCGAAAGGAACGCUAAUACCGCAUACGUCCUACGGGAGAAAGCAGGGGACCUUCGGGCCUUGCGCUAUCAGAUGAGCCUAGGUCGGAUUAGCUAGUUGGUGGGGUAAUGGCUCACCAAGGCGACGAUCCGUAACUGGUCUGAGAGGAUGAUCAGUCACACUGGAACUGAGACACGGUCCAGACUCCUACGGGAGGCAGCAGUGGGGAAUAUUGGACAAUGGGCGAAAGCCUGAUCCAGCCAUGCCGCGUGUGUGAAGAAGGUCUUCGGAUUGUAAAGCACUUUAAGUUGGGAGGAAGGGCAGUAAGCUAAUACCUUGCUGUUUUGACGUUACCGACAGAAUAAGCACCGGCUAACUCUGUGCCAGCAGCCGCGGUAAUACAGAGGGUGCAAGCGUUAAUCGGAAUUACUGGGCGUAAAGCGCGCGUAGGUGGUUCGUUAAGUUGGAUGUGAAAGCCCCGGGCUCAACCUGGGAACUGCAUCCAAAACUGGCGAGCUAGAGUACGGUAGAGGGUGGUGGAAUUUCCUGUGUAGCGGUGAAAUGCGUAGAUAUAGGAAGGAACACCAGUGGCGAAGGCGACCACCUGGACUGAUACUGACACUGAGGUG